UCUAUCCAAGAAAAUCUUGCCUAGAAAGAGGUCAGCAACCUUCUUAAUCUUGACCACCAACAUGGCUUCACAAGGAACUCUGGGAGCUGAGAGCAGGAAGCCUUACCACAGACAGUAAACUGGUCAUGGCCAUAGUGUGAUCAGUUUUAGUGACAUCAUCUGUUACAGAAGUUACAUAAUGACGUAACUUCUUUUCCUUCUUGUAAAUUGAAAAGAUUAUAUACCUUUGGUUUUC
rnacentral:lncRNA from 1 species